rnacentral:piRNA from 1 species
UCUCUUCACAGCAAUAGAACAGUGACUAAGAA